GUACGCUGGCGGCACGCCUUAUACAUGCAAGUCGAACGAAGUAGCAAUACUUAGUGGCAGACGGGUGAGUAACAUGUAGGUAUCUUCCCUUUGGUGAGGAAUAACACGAGGAAACUUGUGCUAAUACCUCAUAAGUCUUUACGGAGAAAGCUUUAUGCGCCGAAGGAUGAGCCUGCACUUGAUUAGUUUGUUGGUGGGGUAAUGGCCUACCAAGACUUUGAUCUAUAGCUGAUCUGAGAGGAUGAUCAGCCACAUUGGGACUGAGACACGGCCCAAACUCCUACGGGAGGCAGCAGUAGGGAAUAUUGCACAAUGGAGGAAACUCUGAUGCAGCGAUGCCGCGUGAGUGAAGAAGGCCUUUGGGUUGUAAAGCUCUUUCGUCGGGGAAGAAAAUGACUGUACCCGAAUAAGAAGGUCCGGC
rnacentral:rRNA from 1 species